GAAGGUUCCUACGAAACGUCCAUCAGCCCUACAAUGAGCUACGUCGUGAGGGAGCAAGAAACCUGAACCCAGUCCCUUAUCACGCAGACUACACGGGCCAUAAAUUACACAUGGACCAAAACGAAAAGUUGGGUAUGUUCGGAGUGACCCAUGUGUUGGCUGUAGAUGGGUACAGCAGUAAAAUUAUGGCUCAAUUCACGAUGCCCGUGAAGAACAAUCUGAUCAUCUAUGAGGAAGUUUACAGGAAAGCAGUUGUCAACAACGGAAUGUGGGACCAGAUUAGAGUUGAUCACGGCAAGGAGUUUUAUUUGACGUUAUACAUGCAGGAGAAGUUGGCUGAACAUCGACACAACACCAAUAGACUCCCUUACCUGCAGACAACCUCU